GAUCAUGGCUCAGGAUGAACGCUGGCGGCGUGCUUAACACAUGCAAGUCGAGCGAGGCACUUUGCUUUGAUUUCUUCGGGAUGAAGAGCUUAGUGACUGAGCGGCGGACGGGUGAGUAACGCGUGGGUAACCUGCCUCAUACAGGGGGAUAACAGUUAGAAAUGACUGCUAAUACCGCAUAAGGCCACAGCACCGCAUGGUGCAGGGGUAAAAACUCCGGUGGUAUGAGAUGGACCCG
rnacentral:rRNA from 1 species